AGAGCAGAUCUCCACACUGCAGCCCAUGGAGGACCCCAAAUCACAGCAUGUGUAUGUGAUCUGAAGGAAGCUGCAACCUGUGGAGAACCCAUUAAGGAGAAGGCUCCUAUAGGAAAGGUGGCCUGUGGAGAAGAGCCCUCACAGGAGCAGGUGAUUUGGUGAUCUGCAGCUGCAGAUCAAUGAGGGACCCAUGCUUGAGCAGUCUGCCCCUGAAGGAUAAAACACAUGGCAUAGGCCCAUGCUGGAGCAGUUCUUGAAGAUCUGCAGCUCAUGAGAAGGACCCAUGUUGGAUCAGUUCAUGAAGGACUGUACCCCAUGGGAGAGACCCCAGACUAGAGAGCAUUACAAAUUAAGGAUUAACUGGAGAAUUUAGAUUCAGCUAAUCCCAAACUGUAACUACAGAAAUGAGAAGAAAAUCUCACCUGCAGAACUUAAAGUGAAGCCAACAUAAACAUGAACUUCUAUGAUUAAAGCUGCCAUAAUAGCCUCUUCAAGACUUUAAAAGGACUGGACUUCUGCAGAGACGAUCCUUGUGAAGACAAAGACUUCUGCCUAAAAUAGGGACAAAUGAAGACCCAGGUUCAGCGAUGCAUCUGGAACCCAGGCACUGCAGGGAGUCUCUUCCCAUGCAGCUGCAAAACUCCUGUCAACAGCACUCUGAGUUGGAUGGGAUCAAAAAGAAAGGAGAGAAAAGUCUGACUGCAGCUUAAACUGGAAUGAUCUGCAACUCAAACCUCUGCUGGACAAAACAUUAAUUUUCGCAUUAUUUCUGACAGGAUACAUAUUCAGAAUAGAUUUUAAAGUUUGUGGGGGGAAAUGCAGAUUUUUCAGGUUAUUAACUCUGAACAACACAAAUUAGACAAUUUGGCAGAGUACAGAGACAGUUGUGAAAAAUAAAAUAUGUGCAAAAGGAAGAGAAGACAAUGAACCUCUGUCUACAGAACUACAGAAAUUUUGUAGGUAUUGGGAUUGGUUUUUAGUAGAUAAGAUUACCUCUUUCAGUCUCUCAGGAUGAUUUCUCUGAUGUGAAAUCAUACUGGACACAUGAAUGACAUAAUACUGUAAGGUACUAGAUUCUACUUCAAAGAUCUUAAAUUUUUCUAGUACCUAAACGUCCAGUCAAAUAUUUAUACCUCAGCAGAAAGAGAGAAUAUGCACAGAUGUUUUAGCAUAAUGAGCAACUCACUUUUGAAUAUAAGUAAAUUCUAUUCUCAAGAACACAUUACAGACGCUAACUAUCUUUGUAAACAAGUAGGUAUUUUGAAAACAUCCUUAAGUUUCAGUUAGUGUUUGUUUUUAUUUUGUUGAUAGAAACAACCCUUUAGAAAUAUUUUGUUUUUCUUUUCUAAAUAUGUCAACAAUGUACUGAUAAAAGUGCAUCUUUAAAAAUAAAACUAACUAAAUAAAAUGCAAAUCAGACAUGAAUUAGCUCCAGAUAUUUUGCUAAAAAAAUAAAAAAACAGCCCCCCCAACACAUUUCCAAAUAAAGAAUGAUCAUCUUAAUAGAAACAUUUCAUUCCCUACAAUCCUCCUUAUGCAUAUAAGAUGCAGCUGUCAGACAAUGAAUAAACUGGUAAUAAAUUUAGUCAUGUUGGGAAACAGGAAAUUAAAGGUCACAA